UACGUAGGGCGCAAGCGUUGUCCGGAUUUAUUGGGCGUAAAGAGCUCGUAGGCGGUUUGUCGCGUCUUCCGUGAAAACUGGGGGCUUAACUUCCAGCUUGCGGUGGAUACGGGCUGACUGGAGUCCGGAAGAGGAGAAUGGAAUUCCUGGUGUAGCGGUGAAAUGCGCAGAUAUCAGGAGGAACACCGAUUGCGAAGGCAGCUCGCUGGAACGUAACUGACGCUGAGACGCGAAAGCGUGGGGAGCAAACAGG
rnacentral:rRNA from 1 species